rnacentral:rRNA from 1 species
GAUGAACGCUGGCGGCGUGCCUAAUACAUGCAAGUCGAGCGAACGGACGAGAAGCUUGCUUCUCUGAUGUUAGCGGCGGACGGGUGAGUAACACGUGGAUAACCUACCUAUAAGACUGGGAUAACUUCGGGAAACCGGAGCUAAUACCGGAUAAUAUUUUGAACCGCAUGGUUCAAAAGUGAAAGACGGUCUUGCUGUCACUUAUAGAUGGAUCCGCGCUGCAUUAGCUAGUUGGUAAGGUAACGGCUUACCAAGGCAACGAUGCAUAGCCGACCUGAGAGGGUGAUCGGCCACACUGGAACUGAGACACGGUCCAGACUCCUACGGGACGCAGCAGUAGGGAAUCUUCCGCAAUGGGCGAAAGCCUGACGGAGCAACGCCGCGUGAGUGAUGAAGGUCUUCGGAUCGUAAAACUCUGUUAUUAGGGAAGAACAUAUGUGUAAGUAACUGUGCACAUCUUGACGGUACCUAAUCAGAAAGCCACGGCUAACUCCGUG